AAAAUUCCAAUUAACAGAUAUUACUCAAUUUAUCUAAAAUUUAAACCACUGGAUAAAAUGCAAAUUAAUUUAUUUGUUAUAACAUUUAUUACCCAUAGAAAGCCAUAAUUAUAACACUUAUUUAGUUACUGCAUUAAGUAACAUAGAGAAGCUAAAUUCUGACACUUAUUUAGUUACUGAAUCAAGUAAAGCAAAGGAUCCAAAUUCUAACACUUAUUUAGUUCGUUCCUAAUCAUCAAAAUCACCAUCUUAAUUAUAUUUCGUCCCAGUUGUUAACUUCCACCUCGAUGUCGUUUGCCCACAGGAAUACACGUUGACGUAUGUAUGUAUGGAUGCACAUCAACAGGAACGUUUAUCUCCAUAUACGUCCCAUGUGUUUUGAGUGCAUCUUUAAAUUCCUCGAAGUUUCGAGUUAUAACCACCGGAGGAGGAUCGUAGGGUGGAUUUUGGGGAUAUCUGAUGAAAUCACUCCUUCCGGAACUUGCAUUUUCAGCCUCAAUGUUUUCCACGAUGGCUAAGUAAGUUUCAGCUAAGACUGAUCUAAGAACUUGGAAUCUAAUUGGCUUAUCAUCUCCAAAAGCCUCCUCCCUUAGCUUCAUUCACUUCCUCUAGCGAUGAAAUCUCAACAUUAUGAAUAUUUUCUCUGUUCCAUUGUUGGAAAUUAAAGAAAAAUAAUUUAUUUCUUCUUCUAGUAAGUGUUUGAG
rnacentral:lncRNA from 1 species